rnacentral:rRNA from 1 species
AUUGAACGCUGGCGGCAUGCCUUACACAUGCAAGUCGAACGGUAACGGGCCUUCGGGUGCCGCCGAGUGGCGAAAGGGGGAGGAAUACACCGGUACGUGCCCGAUCGCGGGGGGUAAGGAGGCGAAAGCUUUGCUAAUAUCUCAUACGAAAUACGUAUUAAAGCAGGGGACGGCAAGGCCUUGCGCGGACGGUGCGGACGAUGGAAGAUUACGUAGUUGGUGGGAUAAAAGUAUACCAAGCCGACGAUCAGUAACUGGUCGCAGAGGAUGAGGAGCCACACUGUGACUGAGACACGGCCCCGACCCCUACGGGAGGCCGCAGUGGGGAAUUUUGGACAAUGCGCGCAAGCCUGAUCCAGCCCUGCCGCGUGCAGCAUGAAGCCCUUCGGGUUGUAAACUGCUUUUGUACGGAACGAUGAGCCUUCUUUUAAUACAGGAGGGUCAUGACGGUACCGUAAGAAUAAGCACCGGCUAACUACGUG